rnacentral:rRNA from 1 species
UACGUAGGGGGCAAGCGUUGUCCGGAAUCAUUGGGCGUAGAGAGCGUGUAGGCGGCUCGGAAAGUUUGGUGUGAAAUCCUGUGGCUCAACCACAGACUGUCACUGAAUACUGUCGAGCUUGGAAUCCGGAAGAGGAGUGUGGAAUUCCUGGUGUAGCGGUGGAAUGCGCAGAUAUCGGGGAGGAACACCAGUAGCGAAGGCGGCACUCUGGGCCGGUACUGACGCUGGAGGAGCGAAAGCGUGGGGAGCGAACAGGG